GUUGGACUGGGCUACUAUUAGUAGCAAAAUUCCAUUGUUGCUACCAGUUUUUUAGCCUUUGAAUCAACUCUUUCCAUUAUUUCUAACCAUUGGAUUAAAUACUAUAACCCAGUGGGGACCACUCAACUCUAGGGGGACCACUCAACUCUAACUGACUAAUAUCAUCCUGACCUUACAAUUUUUCAUCUAAGGGUUAAAAACUUGAUAGCAAAAAGAGCGUUUUACUAUUAAUAGUAUUCCAGCCUAAUUCUACAUAUAUAUAUAUAUAUAGUUCAGCUACUAUACUCUUAUGAGUAUAAACUUCUUUGUACUCAUAAAUUUUCGAAUUAAUUUUGAGAUUAAUUUUGGAUUUAAAUUCAAAAUUUUAAUUUUUUAUUUUUGGGGACUAAAGUGAAAAAUAAAGUUUAGGGACAAAAAUUGACAUGCAAAAUAAAGCUAAAUAGGCAAUGAUAUGAUAAUAUCAUUAAUUCUAAACCUCUUUUAAUAGUACCAUUUUGG
rnacentral:lncRNA from 1 species